rnacentral:rRNA from 1 species
AGUGAACGCUGGCGGUAGGCCUAACACAUGCAAGUCGAACGGCAGCACAGUAAGUGCUUGCUCUUACGGGUGGCGAGUGGCGGACGGGGGAGGAAUACAUCGGAAUCUACUUUUUCGUGGGGGCUAACGUAGGGAAACUUACGCUAAUACCGCAUACGACCUACGUGUGAAAGCAGGGGAUCUUCGGACCUUGCGCGAUUGAAUGAGCCGCUGUCGGAUUAGCUAGUUGGCGGGGUAAAGGCCCACCAAGGCGGCGAUCCGUAGCUGGUCUGAGAGGAUGAUUAGCCACACUGGAAGUGAGAAACGGCCCAGACUCCUACGGGAGGCAGCAGUGGGGAAUAUUGCGCGAUGGGCGAGAGCCUGAUCCAGCCAUACCGCGUGGGUGAAGAAGGCCUUCGGGUUGGAAAGCCCUUUUGGUGGGAAAGAAGAGCAGCAGGUUAAUCCCCCGCUGUUAUGACGGUACCCAAAGAAGAAGCACCGGCUAACUUCGUG